rnacentral:misc_RNA from 1 species
AUUUUUGUUUUUGUAAAGGAAAUUUCCUUUCAUCAAGAUGAGCUUGGCGAGUCUAUCUCCUUAGAAGGGUAGAGAGUUUGGGGGGAAGACAAUGUGGAGAGAAGGAAUGAGGGGGUGAAUUGCUUUCAAUUAUAUGUAUGGGAAGUAAAGUCAUUGUCAAUUAUAGUAAAGUCACAAUGCUUUAUUUUUUUCACCCUAUAACUUGAGUUCCAGGAAGGUUGGAGUCUUGCUGAGCUUUUUCAGGUCCGUUGCAUUGUGGUUGCUCCUUAUGUUGUUCCCUA